rnacentral:rRNA from 1 species
CAGUCGCCGCGGUAAUACGAAGGGUGCAAGCGUUAAUCGGAAUUACUGGGCGUAAAGCGUGCGUAGGCGGUUUGUUAAGUCUGUUGUGAAAUCCCCGGGCUCAACCUGGGAAUGGCAAUGGAUACUGGCAAGCUAGAGUGUGUCAGAGGAUGGUGGAAUUCCCGGUGCAGCGGUGAAAUGCGUAGAGAUCGGGAGGAACAUCAGUGGCGAAGGCGGCCAUCUGGGACAACACUGACGCUGAGGCACGAAAGCGUGGGGAGCAAACAGGAUUAGAUACCCCUGUAGUCCCUGUCUCUUAUAC